rnacentral:sRNA from 1 species
UCCUAGCCCUGAUUGCAGUGGAAAUCCUUUCUAGUUUUACGAAAAAAUAGAAAGAUUGAAGCGAAAAGCAGGAAUUAGC